GAAAGUUUUGUGCUUUCUCUCCAUUCCUUAGGUACCUGACAUGAAUCUCACUCAAUCUCAAGAUGCUUCGGGGAGUUGAACCAGGGAGAACGUUGAAAUGGGAGAAAAGUGAAGAUUUUUAACAAACAAUCAAGAAUAUUGAAGAGUUUGUUGCCGACAAAGAACUGGGUUUGUGCUCUUUAUUGGCCAAUAUUCCUAAUUUUUUCAAGCUUUAUAGGUGGGCAUUCAAUAUCUCUACAUAUCUGAACUACAACUAAUCGAAUUCAAAAAAAAUUAGCAUAAUUUUUAAGUAAUAUAAAUUAUCACUCUCCAGUCAAGUUUAGUUGAGUAGUGGAGUUAGAUUCCUUUCUUCUUAUCUUUCCCAUGGAUUUGAAUUGUAUUCUUUGUCUUAUUAGGAAAUUAGGAUAGUUCCUCUUCUUUUUAGUUAGUGGCGGCAAGGAGUGCCCACCACCUACUCGACAUUUUCCCUCACUGAAUUUACUACAUCUCUUUAUAUUUAAUCAACAUAUCAAUAUCAUUUUAUUUAUAAUAAAAAAUUCAAGAUAUCACUAUCUUGUGGCACUGUAAAAAAAAAAAAUAGAACAUGCAAAUUCAUCUUUGUUGGAUGAUAAAAUUGAUUAGGAAAGGUUCUUAUGCUAAUAUAAUAUAGGUUAUAGGUCUUUUCGUGAACUUUUUAAUGCUUUUGUGUUUUAGUUUUUGUUAAUUGGUGAUAUUAUGUCUUCUGGUAAUGUAUGGCUGGUUGUUUUGAUAUAAGUUAUAACUAUAAAUUGAGAUCAGUAGCUUUUUUCUUCUAGAAAGGAAUAUAUAUAUAUGCUUAUUGGCAAUAGUAAUAUACUAUUUUAAUUUAAUUAGGAUGAUUCUAUUAUAAAAAACCUAUAGAUCUAGAAGAAAUUGAUUACCAAUUUUAAUCAUACUUUUCUGGUAUUAGUUCAGUAAUUGCAGCCAAGUAUUAUUAUUAUUAUUUUUUGUAUGAAAAGGAAGUAUGAUUUACAAAUUUCUAUACAUUUCUAUUUAUAUAUUGCAUUGCAAGAUUAAUUCUUAUCUUGGUAAUGUGUGUAACCAUUGGUGAAGAGAAUGAAGUGGCCUAUAUUGCAGGGAAGGUUUUUUUAGUUUGAAAUGGAUAAAACUUGGAUGUCAAAAGAUCGAAUGUCAAAAGAAUAUGAAGAUGGUGUUGAGCAAUUUAUUGUGUUUGCUAUAAGUCAUGCUAGUAACCCCAAACUCAUUAAAUGUCCAUGCCAAGUAUGUGGAAAUUUGAUGUUUGAGACUCCUAAAGGGAUAAGAGAUCAUAUGUUUAUAAGAGGUGCUGAUCGAAGUUAUAAGAUAUGGAGUUGGCAUGGGGAGGUGGCUGAUAUUGGAGGAACAACAAGUAGGGAAGUAAAUUUUGAUCAGUCACCUAAAUACGAGGAGGUCCAAGAAACUUUACAAAUGGUUAAUGCUGCUUAUGAUCCUUGUACUGCCAACCAUGAUUCUUUUACAUGUCUUACUUCAAUGCUUGAACUUACAGUGAGUUGUAUCAUUUUAUACAUGAGACAAUUAUAUGAUCAUAUGAAGGCUGAAGGUCUACUUCAGAUGUUUGGCUUUAUCAAUCCUGCUAUUGUAUCAUUGGCUGGAAAUUUAAAUAAUCAACGAAAACGGGAUGAGAGAUCACGAAAUAUAGCAGAUCGUUUGGUGAAGGCAAAAAAAAAUCAACUCAUAAUCAUGCCUUAUAAUCCUGCGUUCCACUGGAUCUUAAUUGUCAUUGACUUCUCAUCCAUGACUGUUUAUUAUUUGGACCCAUUAAGGAAUGAUAUUUAUGAGGAUGUCAGAGUAGUUGUAGACAAAUGAUGUGUGAUGGGAAUUCCAAUUUUGGCUUUUUGAGAAGAUGAUAUAUAGGAUCACAAAUGUGAUUUCCAGUAAGCUCUCUGUUUUUUGGAAAGAAAGUGAAAGCCAUUGAUUGUUUGUAUGGCUGCUGUGGUCUUAGAAUCUUCAUGAAAUAUGUUUUGUUUGGCAGGUCUUGUUUGGCAGUUUUGUUUGGCAGGUCUUGUUUGGCAGUUUUGUUGUAAGGCUGCUGGUCAUCUGUUUUGAAGGUCCUAUCGAAGUAAGAACUCUCUGGAUGUAAAAUGGGGAAUAUUGUACUAGAACACAAGAGGUUUCUACUGGAAAAACUCAUUUUAUUUAUGGAUUUUAGUGUGUAUAUUUGGCAAUGCAUGGCUUGUAUAGUUUGUUGAAACUAAGUGAACAAAUGCACUAGUAUGAUGUAUUUUCAGUUGAUUAGUUUCAAUACAUGCAAAUUAUUUUAGAAGUAUUCUGUGCUUUGAAUUAUUUUUUAUUGUGAUAAAGUUAGCUCUUUUGGUUUCCCAGAUUUAGUUUUGAUUAA